rnacentral:misc_RNA from 1 species
UGGCAUUGCUUGCAUGCAUUGGUAGCGGUUUAAAAUACAAUGUCUGACGUCGCAUUUGCUUUAGUCCUUAAAUAAGAAGCAACAAGUUAACAUCAGCUCAAAUUCAUUUGACUUCGCGAGAGAUACAAAUUCAAUAAAUAACAACAGCAACAAGUUUCUUGUUUCUUAGAUAAUCAAACGCAGUUUUACAACAACAAAAAGCAACAAAAUAUUAAUUUGAAAAAAGUCAAAGCAAAGCGAAAAGUGUCAGUGUGCAAUACACGAAAGAAAUUAAAUAAAUAAAUAUAAAUCAAUGAGCUAGUGCCAGAAUACAAGAAGUUAAAAAAGCAACUAAUUGAAAGAUAUUGAGCAGUAUUCGUCGCAACAACAACCACAACAAUACUAACUGGCGGCAAGCGCUCACAGUAUUGUUAAAUUAAACAAAUAUUGAUAAACUGAUUUGUGGCAAAAGUUACUUAAUAAAUACAAUAAAAGUUCGCUAUAACACACACAUACACACACAAAUAUUUGCACCCAAGGCAAAUAAACAGAACGAGAGUUGGCCAAAAAAGUUGAAAAUAUAUAUUUAUUGUUAAAAAAGAAGAAGCAAAGCGGCAGUGAAAGAUUUCAUAUAUAAAUACUGCUGCUGCAUUCGCACCUCCGGUAAAAGAGGAAGAAGAAAAUCGUUAAGUUUUUUCAACUGUGUGAAAAGUGAAUUCGAAACAAAAGCGAGGCGCAACUCUGUGUACUUAAACGAGCGCCGUCUGAAAGCAAUUUAUACAUACAACUGUAUAUUUGCUUAGAAAAAAUAAAAAUCAACAACAACAAAACACCACAAUUUACUACAAACCAGCAAAAGGCAUUGUACUUGAAUUGCAUACAAAUGAAGUUCUCAAUAAAUAUGUGUUCCCGCAACAUUAAGAUCUCGGUGGUGCUGUUUCUUGUCUUGAUUCCACUUAUCACAGCUUUGCCACACAACAACCACAAUCUGUCGAAGCGAAGCAAUUUCUUCGACUUAGAGUGCAAAGGCAUCUUCAACAAAACAAUGUUCUUCCGCUUGGAUCGCAUUUGCGAAGACUGCUAUCAACUUUUCCGCGAGACAAGUAUACACCGACUAUGCAAGAAAAACUGCUUCGAUUCGAAAUGGUUUGGAGAAUGCCUGAAAGUGCUUUUAAUACCAACGGAAGAGAUUUCGAAAUUACAGCACUUUAUUAAAGUGAUUAACGGCUCUCCAAUAUCAUUCCCACAGUCGGUCCCAACAUAACUUUAGUUUAGAUGCAAAACUUACCAAUUUCCAAUUAAUUUGUACUUAUUUAUUAUUGUAUUUUACGAUGGUUUAAGUUUCAUUUGAGUUUUAUGAUUUUCUGUUAUUUAUUACAUACAGAUGUAAUUAAUUAUGUUUAUGCUUAAAAUAUGCUUAAUUUAUUUUAAAUAACAACACAGAACCUUAAAGCUAACUAAACAGAUAUAAAUGAAACUCACACCCACACAAACACACACUCAUAUAUACAAUAGAAAAAACAAAAAAAACUUUGCAGAGAAGAGAAUGAAAUUCAAAAUAUUUAUAAACUUAUUUAUUCUAUAAGUAAAGUUAGUAACUCUUUAAACGGAGACAUAAGCAAAAGUGAAAAAUAUUGUAAACUAUAAACUCAAAGUUUUAGAAGUGGAAAAAGAAAAAAACUAAAGCAAAAAUUAAAUAUAACGGACUUGCAUAAAUACGCUUUUUGUAUUUGCACUAAGUUAAACAGAAAAUGUGGAGUCUAGAGAAAAUUUUGCACAAAAACAUUCGACAAUCAAUAGAAAUACAACGCAGUACUGUAGAGUAACAGUAACAUUACACAAAUCUGUAGUUGAGCAGAGCGUCAUACCUUACAUAAAACUGUAGAAUAACAAAGCUGCUUCUCUUAACUUUAUAUAAAACUGUAAAAUAGCAUAAUUUCAAGUGCAGUGCUGUUAACUUUAUAUAAAACUGCAACUUUUAAACUGCAUUGCUGUUAACUACACAGUAAUCUGUAGUAUAACAGAUUUUCAAAGGCAGUUCUGUUAAGCUUACAUAAAACUGUAGUUUAACUGAGCUUCAAGGACAGUAGUGCUAACCUAAUUCCAAACUACGCAACAUCACUUUAACAGCUUAAACGCAAGCAUAGAACAUGUCUCGGGAAUAUUAAAUACUAGAAAGUAUUGAUUUUGUAUUUAUGAAUAUAUUCGUACUUUUUUCAAUUUUUUUAAACGAAAAUCACCAAACAUAACUUUGAGUUUUUACUUUACAUGUGUUUGUUAGAAUAUACAAGUGUACAUGUAUGUAGGUAUAAAUGCAUGAUGAAAUGUUAAACUAUUAUUGUAGUAAGUGCUUUCCGAUAAGUAUUUAUCUAGAAAAAAUGUUAUUUUUAUAAAUUAAAAACAAAAAAAUUAAAACAAAAUCAACUAAAUAUUCCUUUAUACAUUUUGCAAUUUGUGAAAAGCACACAAAAAUCCAGUUAAACACAAAAAACACUAAUAAAAUUUUUCCAAACAACAACAAAAAUACAUACAAACACUUUCACAAAAAAAAAAUAUUUUACUCAGUGCAGGUACAUUCAGAAUGUACUACUAAGAUAGUUGAAGCACUUUUAAGAGUUUCUAAAUUUUUUAUAAAUCAAUACAUUUAUAUAUAAAAUAUAAAUAUAUGCUAGAAUCGUUUACAAAAGCUAUGUACUAUAUUUAUAACAAAUUUAUAAAAAGAUAAACUGUGAAAAAAAAUUUCAAAAUAUUUUAAAAUCAAAAAAAGAUGGCAUCAAGUUAUGGUAAUGAAACGUACACAUACAUAGCGACUUACAUAUGUACACACAAACACCUAUAUGUUAUGUACAUAUGUGCAUAUUGGUUAUGUAUGUGAAUGUUGAAGAAAUUUGUUAGCAAAUAUUUACUGAAAUUAUUGUGAUAAAGUAGUAGAACGACAAGCAAGCAUAAAUAUGUAGUAGAAAGUAUGUUGUAAAAACGGCGAAAACGAUCGAGACGAACCACAGCAACAAUAACGCCGACCAAGCGCACAAGCAACUGGCGUAAGCUGGCCCUGGCAACACCACAGUGCGAGACCGAGCGGCGAAACCACAAAGAGGAGCAUGUUUUGUGGCUACAAACAUACAGAUAGCACGGAAAAACAACAACACAUACAAGCAUUUGACAAAUAUUUGUCUGUGUGUGCUUGGCAGCGCUGCAUGGCUUUGAACUUGCAGGACUUGCGCAUCAACACAUUACAAUUACAAACACACACAUGUACCAGUGCAAUAACAACAACAAUAAUGAACUUUUGAUUUUUUGGCAAGAUUGCUUCGGUUCACAAUUCUUCGCCGCCUGCGUCGAGGCUCUACAACUGCACGAAGAGAUGGACAAAUACAAUGAAUGGCGCUUCACUCUCGGCAAGAAGUAAGGCGUUCCAUUCUAUUGCGUUCUACUUAAUUCAUUGUUGACGACCAGCGGACGACGUUCAUGCGACGGUUACAGUGUGUGGCUUGUAUGUAUGUACAUUUUGUGGAUUUUGCGAUUGUGUUGGCGUUUUUAUGAAGAUCAACCGACGACUUGGACUGGAACACUGAUAAUGUUAAAUCAACCGAAGGCGAUAAAUAAACAAGUGAUGUAUGAAUGUAUAACCGUAUAACGAAAAUGGCAAUGUGAUCCUGAUGAUGACAACGUUGACAAUGAAUGGAGUGAUGAUGAUGACUACGAUGACGAUGACGACACUGGCAGCUAAGCAUGAAUAUAAAUUAUGGAGUAAUGGAAAAUUGAAAAAAAAAAUAUUUAUGGAAUUUUAUAUUAAAUUUAGUUUGAAAAAAUACUUAGAAAGGAGUAAAAAAGAACACACAUACAUAUUAUCAAUGGAAAUUUAAUGAAAUAAACUAAAGUAUUUAGCACAAAUGAAUAAAAUAAUUGAAAUUUAAAUUUAAAGCAAAAUUAAUCGUUUCAAAUUGCUCGUUGAUGUACUUUGAUGUCUGCCUAAUGCAAAGUUUUAGCAAAUUAAUUGAAAAAAAAUAACAACAAAAUACGUAUUUUCUAUAUUUCUGUAUGUAUAGCUAUUUUUCAUGAAAUAAAACUAAGUUCAUGCACAAAAAUGUUAAAUGUAAAAAAUAAUUUCAAAAUGUGGGUAUUGAACAAAAUACAAUGUGUGUAAAGUUUUCGUUUCUUGCGUUAUAUAACCGUCUCCAGUGGUUAAUUUAAAGCUCUCAUAAUUUAAAAAAUUAUUUACAAAAAAAAAAAUAAUUGCAGCCUCAAAAAAGUAUUUACAAAAGAAAAUAAUAAAUUCAGCCUCAAAUAAUACUCCAUUUACACAAUUUGUUGAAACACAGUGUCCGUUAAAACGAAAAAAGCAAAAAUCCGAUUGCAUUCAAAUUAAAUUUAAAUGCAACAAAUCGAUUAAAUCGAAACCGAUAACAAGCAACAAACAAGCGACAAAUAUAUAUACAUAAAUAUAACGGAAAAACACACAAACAAGUAUUUUAAAUGUCUGAUGUAAAUAGAUGAUUCAUUAUUUUUUAUUAUUAUUUUGUAAUAAUUUGUAAUUAUAUUUAUAUUAAUAUAAUUAUUAUUAUGUUAAAAUUUAACUAUCAUAAAUUAUUGAUUAUGUGCUAUAAGUAGUAGCUAUCGAAUCGUGAGGUUUUUAUUUUUUACAAUUUAAUAACUUUACAUACAUAUACUUGCAGAACAUAAUAUGAAUGCAUUGUAUUGAAAACAUAAAAGUAUUUUUAAUUUGUAAAUUAUUUUUGCAAUAAUAUCCUUAAGUUAUUUUUACUAAUUAUAUACAUACAAACAUACCUACAUAUAUAUAGUAAAUAUAUAUGUAUAUACAUAUAUGCUAUAUUGUACUAUCGUUACGAUGAUUUUUAUACUGUGCAAAUAAUAAGAUAACAACAACAAACAAUAAAAACAACACCCCACAUAAGCUCAUAUGUAAAUUCAAUAGACCACAAAUGACGGAAAGUAUGUAGUUAACAUAUGAUACGAUAUAUACACAUGUAUAUGUAUGUAAAUGUGUGCAUAAACUUGUAAUAUGUACAUUAGCACUCAUGUGCAUUAAACAUAACUAAAAGAUAUGUUCGCAACUACAUACACUCACGUCCACAAACCUAAAUGUAACUAUCGCUAAAGAUUUGUACAAUCUUUUUUACUUUGUUUUCCACUUUACAUAUAUCAUGAAUAUCAUAACGCGUAUUAAGAUUUUAUUUUUUAUGAUUGUAAUAAUAUUUUAUUUGUUUUUGAUUUUGAGUUUUGUAUGAUUAUUACUUUUAAAUUGAAACUUCUUUGGAUCUAGUCGUAAAAUAAAGAUUGUAUAAUUCAAACUCUAA